AAUUACAGAAAAAAAAAAAUGGAAACUAAACUGUUGUAUAAAUUUAUAGUUUUAUACAAACCUUAAAGCAAGCACCGCAACCAGCUCCCUCUUUGUAAAGAGAAGGAACACCAGCUGCAAGGUGUCCGCCACUUAAGCCUAAUGCCA